UACGUAGGGGGCAAGCGUUGUCCGGAAUCAUUGGGCGUAAAGAGCGCGUAGGCGGUCCGAUAAGUCGGUUGUGAAAACUGGGGGCUCAACCCUCAGAGGCCGACCGAUACUGUCGGGCUAGAGUCCGGAAGAGGCGAGUGGAAUUCCUGGUGUAGCGGUGAAAUGCGCAGAUAUCAGGAGGAACACCAAUGGCGAAGGCAGCUCGCUGGGACGGUACUGACGCUGAGGCGCGAAAGCGUGGGGAGCGAACAGG
rnacentral:rRNA from 1 species